rnacentral:lncRNA from 1 species
UUCUUCCCUUCGAAAAAAUAUCCAUUUCCUGUAAUUGUACGCCAUGUAUUAAAGCCAAGGACGAUAAGCACGAAUGGACAUAUCGCUAAGAAUGUUGCCUUAUUUCCUAUAUACUUCAUAGUCCAGAGUGGAAAUUGCAGAGCAAUUACUUUUUGAAUGUUUAACAUAAACGUAAAACAAACUGACAUCAUAUGAAACCCUGAAGAGGUCAGGGAAAGUGGCGUCAAUAUAAUACAAUUGGAGUAUAGUUGUGGCCAUAUCCAUCCGCCCAAAAUUGAAUUUUCGGCAAUUAUGAGGUUGUUAAAGUUAAAUGUGUAUCCAAUUAGAUAUGGUAUUGGUGCUAAUAUUGUUGUCAAACAGUCUGAAGCGGCAAGUGAUGACAACAAAAUAGUUGAUGGCGUUCUAUUUUUAGGACGUAAAAGUAUUGUGAUGAUAAAUAUGUUGACUACUGCGCAUUCAACUGUCAAACAGGGUUGUGUGAUGGUUAUCCAUGCAGAUGGAAUAAACAAUUCACUUUGCUCACAAAUGUAGUCGUUUCCAUAGUUACACUCACAAUUUAAAUCAUAACUUUGAUUACUAAUAUUGCUCAGCAUGGUAAAACGUUGCUAUUAAGUGAAUUUGGAAGUCCCUAAAACUCAAUCUCCAUGUAUAUACUCAGUCUAGAUAGAUCCUUGAAAAUCUCAAUUUCAUAACACUGGAACAACCGGCGUAUAUUUGCUCAAAUCUGAUUGGUUGAAAUAAUCAAGAAAUAUAGAGAACAGGUUGUUUCUUUGCAUGUACCCUUUACAAAUCAAGCAGUUAUUCAAUUGAUGACGAUAAAUGGUGGGCACCUG